rnacentral:rRNA from 1 species
GGUGAAGGUAGGAAGGGCGCACGGUGGAUGCCUAGGCGCCAGGAGCCGAAGAG